GGAUACAUUUGCAAGCAUUAAAAUCUGCUGGAGCAAAGACACCAGAAUGAGAUGACUACAGAGGACUUGAGUGCUGACUGCCCGGGCCUCUGCAACCACUGAUUGCAUCAGUGUGUACAUCAGCGACUGGAUGGUAAUCUCCUGCACUGAAGCCUCAGCCUUCCUAUGAGGAGAUGUGUAUGGAACCCUUCAGACUGGCGUACCUUUUCUGAG